AAGGAUGCCCACCACCCUGGGGGGGGGGGGUGUCCCCCUCAUUACCUCUGCAGGUGGUUGGCCUGCCCUGUGCCCGCAGCCUGCCCUGGCAUGAGCCCAGGGCACUGUCACAGCUUCUCAGAGGACUCACUGUACUUACUAUUGAGGCAGUAGUUCCCACACUCUGCCAGGUGCCAGCAUGAAACAGAACAGGGAAGGUCAGAAUCUCACAGUCAUUGUAAAAUCCCAAUUACUUUGGUUGCAGAUUUCUGGGAACCAGCCUUGCUGCCCUCGUGAAGCCCUGCAGGAAUUCACAUUCCUCUUACGGAAUGUGAAUCUGAUUCCCAACGGGAACCACUGGAAAUCUUUUCUCCUCAUGGUUAGCACCAAGUCACCCAACACGCCUCGCCAGUCCCAGCUCACGAGUGGAGGCGCAGGUGGUGGUGGGCCAAGAAGAUGUGUGUAAUAAAUUAUCCAACACCUCUGAGGCUCCCCUGAGCUUGCGCUGACGAUCCCCAUUUAAUCUAAACCUGGAGAAAUAACUCCUUGCUGAAGUUACUUACCUUGUCAAUGACCAUUUAUUUUCUUGGCUCCAGGCUACGCGUGAAAAAGGAAUGAUAAGCCAGCCAGCUGCCUCUUUUCUCUCCCUAGUGGAAAAUAUCACCCUAAUUCCCGCCCCACCCCCUUUGCAAUAUUCCAGAGCCCUGGUGAUGUGGUGAUUAACAAAGAGCAGGGGAACGCUCUAGAAAUGACACCACUGAAUACAAAAAUGGUGGAAAUAUACUCAGUGUCGUCACUGAGUGGAUAAACAUUAAUUCCGUCCUACAACAUUACAGCUAGAAGUGACCAUCUAGCCCUUUCUGGCCCUUUGUGGUUUGUUUAAAUAUUGUAAGCACAGCUAUAUUUGAUCCUAACCCUUUAUAUCUGAUUUCUUCUACAUUGUCUUUUUUUCCGUGGCAAAGGCACAAGUCGAAAGGUGUUUUGGGUGCUUCCUCACAUUUAGACCUAAAAGCUCGUGCCAUCUGGUGACACAAAUAAUACCCCAAUGAAUAGCAGCCUGCAAGCUAGGCAAAACAUUUUCCACUGCAGGGACUUGAAAUUCCCAAGGGACCAUGACGAGUUAAAGGGAGCUUGCUGGCUCCUUCAUACAGUCCCAGGACCAGUGAAGGAAGGACCUGGGGUGUUGUAACCUAGCUUUUCCAGCAGCCAGAACUCCUCUCAACAACCCCCUGAGACAUGGCCAUCCAGCCCCAGGGAACACUUUCCACGAUGGGUAGCUCUCUCGCCCAUAGGGCAGCACCCUCCCCUGCCGGACAGCUCUACUUGGAGCAGAUGUCUUGGUUCCAUGAAACUGACUCUGCAGCCAUAAAGUAAAGAACAGCAGAAAAAUGUUUUUCAACACUACCAGUCUUCAGCUAUCUAAACAGGAACAUCUAGGUUGAACACCCCCCCCCCCAAAUUUUCCAUUGUUUAUGAUACACCAUCAAAAGAAAACAAAUUCCCUGUAGUAUGCACAAUUUCUAUGUUUUAUUCACUUGUGUUUUUUCAUACUGAGUUUUCUUAAAUUAUAGUCCAUACUUAAUGAUGCUAUGUGUUUUAUGCACUGGGACCCCUCUCCCCGGCCAAAAAAAAAUCACCCAAAUCAGACCCAGCAAUACGAUGUGAAUUUACUAAACACAACAUAAAAUGUCCAGAAUGUGGGAGAUCAGCAUGGGUCAGGCAGGUUCCCAUCUUUGAGGACUGCGCACCCCUGACAAAUGUGUGACCUAAGCCAUUAGCUUUUGGUGUCGGUAGUGAGUGUGGCGUGGCUUCAGCUGCUACAGAGAAACAACCCCAUCUAGUGGCCUGCAGGGUCCUGAAUGGUCUGAGUCCAAACUCUAAUGCAGGGAAGGGAAAGAAGGACCGGGCUCAGAGUUCUUUCCCAAGUGGCCUGUCUGCUAUGGGCUGGGGGAACCCCAGGAGGAAACAGCUGCAUCCUGCACCCCUGUCUUGGACACGCAGAACAUAGCAAAUGCUCUGAGAAGUCCCACAGAAGAGACAGUGGUUUGUUUACCCAGGAUUACCCAGAUUUAUUUGACCCCAGAAGCCCCCUCCCAUUUUGUGCCUAUGAAUGUAUGUUGUCUGUCUCUCUGUGUGAGCAUAAAACAGCCAUCAGUAUUCCUUGGAACUUAAUUUUUUACAUGUGCUUCGUGGAACUCUUCUUUAACUUGUUAGUAACUUAAAUACAAGAGCCCUGAGGGACUGGGACACAGGUGGGUAAAUUUGGAUGCGAGCAGAAAGAAGACAGAAAUCUCUAAGGAUGGGGAGUAUUUUUUGAGGAGGGCGGCUUUUUGACACCCCUCUGGUGAGAUGAGAAAAGGGCCUCGGUACUGGGGUACAGCAUGGGGUGCUGAGGUUUGAGGUGGAAGAAGGCACCUAAGAGUGACAGCCCCCAAAUGGAUGGUGAGGGGACCACCAAGCCCUAUGGUUUUUGCUGGUACCUGAAGUCGUGGCUGGGAGUUAGAAGACCCUCUGGCUCCUCCUGCCCCAGUUGGAGACAGAGAGGCUCACUUUCCUGCAGUUCAGUGGGAGCCCGGUGCCCACCUCCAUCUGGGCUCAGGCUCUGCUCCUGCCUCUGAUUUUGCCAGAGACAAAGGGCAGGACGGGGGUCCCAAAACCCCCUCAAUGUCCUGAUGGUCUGGGAGCCUGGACCGCUCCAGGAUUUGUCUGAGUUUCUGGCCCCAGCCCGUCUGCACCACCAAGAGGUGAGAACAAGUUUCCAAUCUCCCGACUAGGGUCCCAGUGGAAUUCUCCUCUGAGGAGGGUAGAAAGAACCAGACUCACUGAGGAUCCCAGAAGCUAAUUUCCUGACGGAGAAGGUGCGCCUUGGUAUGGACUGAGCGAGGCCUGGCGCUGGGGAUUUCUACAACAUGCUGCCCACUGUAAAAGGACUGGUUUAACUUCUGUGGGGAGUGCUAGGAAAGGUUCAUGCUUUUGAAGCAUGAUCUGUUAAUCAGGGAGGGAAACAACCCUUAAAUACAUGAGGCUAAGAAUCACCUUGCUGGAUCAGACAGGAUUCUCUUUGACAACCAAGGAUGGCUUCUAACCAUUCUUUGUCUUUCUCACGAAGAAUAUACCCCAACUUUUAGACUGUUCUCCUGCAUCUCUGUGGAACCAGCUCUCCUCCCUUUAUUUCUGAUCCUUACUCAGGACUAGAUGCUCACCUCAAAAGUCUGUCUGCAGGUUGCACUGAUCACAGUCUUCAGUUCCAUUGUCUGCAGUCAAGGUCACACAAUACACAUGAGGAAGGGAAGCCUGUACCUUCUGGAUGCUCCCACUGAAUGGCUUGAGGAUGCCUGAGUUCUUCUUCACGUCAUCAUAAUUGGGGACCCCACCAAUGAAAAUGUCCGAGUUGCACUUAAUCUGGGUGAAGCCUCCCUGCCAACAGAUGAAAAACAAAACACGAUGCAACUUCAGAAAAAAAUGGUUAAGAUUACCAAAGGUACCUUUGGUUCCCUGUCAGGGAGCAAAAGGCAGAGACAGUCUCAAGACUCAUCAUGACAAUCUGUCUACACAUUGGCUUGACCUUUGCCUUGUUUUGCAUUGCUUCUUACCACCUGUUUGAAAGUAAAUUCCUUGACAUUUCUGA